AUGAACAUUGUGGAGAAUGACCUGAAUGAGGUGGAGAGCUCUCGGGAGAGUAGUGAAGGGGAGGAACUAAAGAGAACCAGUUGGGUGGAGUGUCUUGUGGAACUCGGCAGAAACUACUGGAAGAAUAUUUGGCAAAAAAAGGCUGUUUCGGUUUUCUCGAGAUUUUUGGUUAAAGUACCAUGGUCAGAUACUCAGAUACCAAAUCAUUUUCUCGGCUAGCCUUCUUGUGCAACUUGGCUUAUAUCAUACCAGAGAUGAAGGCCACGGAUUUGAAGAGAUACUAUGGCCUACAAUUUGUAACAUCUUCAAUAGAUAAGCAAGCGCAGGCAGAUCACAUUGUGACAAUCAAACCAAAACUUGAUCAGGAUUCUACUGCAGUGAAAUCUAUGGCCUCAGCUGAAGCUAAUCUCCGCUCGCUAAGAAAAUCACAGCAGGAUGCAGGAGAGAAUUCAUGCAGAAAUGGAGGGAGCUCACCCCAAAAUCACAAGUCUGAUAAAUAUGAAAACAUAUCAACAUCAAAGCAAGGAGCAGAAAAGGACUUUCAGUCACUGCACUUACCUUGUGAGUGGUUUGUUUGUGAUGAUCCCACUACUUAUACUCGUUUUUGUGUGAUUCAGGGUAUAGACUCCCUUGCAUCGUGGCAGGCAUAUUUCUUAUUUGAACCCAUGGAAUUUGAGGGGACUACUGUACUUGCUCACCGAGGAAUUUAUGAACUGGCAAAGAAACUUUAUGAGCAUUUCAUUCCUGAAAUAAUCGACCAUUUGAUAAGACAUGGUGAGCAAGCGAAGCUUCAAUUUACUGGCCAUUGUCUUGGAGGAAGCCUCUCUGUUAUACUCCAGUUGAUGCUACUGACUAGGAAGGUCGUCAGUCCCUCAAAUCUUCUGCCUGUCGUCACAUUUGGCUCCCCAUAUGUGUUCUGUGGAGGCCAGAAAAUAUUUGAGCAACUAAGAUUGGAUGAGUGCAAUCACAUCCGUUCUGUUAUGCUGCACAGAGAUAUUGUCCCUAGAUCUUUCUCCUCCAAAAUUUCUGAUCAUGUCACAGCAAUUCUCAAGAGUUUACAUGGUCCAUUAGAGUCACACCCUUGUCUAACAAAGAAUAAGAUAUUGUACUCUCCCAUGGGUAAACUGUUUAUUGUCCAACCUGAUGAAAUGUCAUCUCCUCCACACCCUCUACUCCCGUUAGGUAGCGCUCUCUACGCUUUGAACAGUACCCGAGAUGGAUUCUCCUUGAGUGUAUUGAUGGACUUUUUGAAUUCCCCACAUCCACUAGAAACACCAAGUGAUCCUACAGCAUAUGGUUCAGAAGGUACAAUUAUAAGGGAUCAUGACUCGAGCAACUAUCUGAAGGCCAUGAAUGGGAUUGUAAGGCUAAACACCAGAAUUCUCCGGACAGCAAGGAAGAGGAGUAAUAUCUUGUGGCCGCUGCUUAAUUCACCACCACCAAGCUCAUGGAACCAUGAAGAUGAAAGCGACAUAGAGAGCUAGCUAGUUUCUACCAGUUGGUAUCCUCAUUGUUGGCAACUCUCAUUCUCUUCUAACCAUAUAGCUAGGACAAGUUUCAUGUGAAAAUAUAAACUUUAGCAAUAUAGAUAAGCGUGGAACAAAUCUAUUACAUAUCAACAAAUGUAGCAUCAUUAACAACGUCGCAGUAACAAUUUCAAGAACUUUCACAAUAACUCAAGAAAACAAUGAGCAUGCUUGACAUACUUAUUGGAAUUUUUGAUGUGAUAUUUCAAAAUACAAAAAUUAUUUGUUGAGUUUAGUUGUAGUCAAUUAAUUGGUGUUUUGAUUUCCAACAUAACCUUCAUUCCAUAUAUACAUCCGUUACAAUUGUAACACAUAUUAACUCUUUCUUGUCUGUUACAAAGACCAAAGUUAUGAUUAUUCAUACUCAUUAACACAUUUUAAUUCGACCAAAAUUUCUUACAAUACUUAGCACUCAAACAAUUUCAAAACACACAUAAAUUCUGUGGUUUUACUUUCUGUUCUAAACAUACAAGUCAAUGAAGUCAUCAAAGUAAUUUAUUUCAAUAUCUCUAAAAUAUGCAAUUUUUGUUCUAGCUAGAUGAUGAAUAUAAUUUUUUUGGCGUAGAUGUAUAAAGAUCGAGAUGGAAUAUUUUGAUGGUGAAUUAGACGAGUGAUGAUUGAUGCAGUAGCUAGAUUAAUUAUCAAUCCCAGAAUGUGU